GACGAACGCUGGCGGCGUGCUUAACACAUGCAAGUCGAGCGAGGCCCACCUUUCGGGGUGGUGUCCUAGCGGCGAACGGGUGAGUAACACGUGGGCAACCUGCCCCCGGCUCUGGGAUAACCCCAAGAAAUUGGGGCUAAUACCGGAUAUGACCGCUGGCCGCACGGCCUGGUGGUGGAAAGAUUUAUCGGCUGGGGAUGGGCCCGCGGCCUAUCAGGUUGUUGGUGGGGUAGUGGCCUACCAAGGCGACGACGGGUAGCCGGCCUGAGAGGGUGACCGGCCACACUGGGACUGAGACACGGCCCAGACUCGUACGGGAGGCAGCAGUGGGGAAUAUUGCGCAAUGGGCGGAAGCCUGACGCAGCGACGCCGCGUGGGGGAUGACGGCCUUCGGGUUGUAAACCUCUUUCAGCAGGGACGAAGCCCGCAAGGGUGACGGUACCUGCAGAAGAAGCACCGGCCAACUACGUGCCAGCCGCCGCAGUAACAC
rnacentral:rRNA from 1 species